rnacentral:rRNA from 1 species
AUUGAACGCUGGCGGCAUGCCUUACACAUGCAAGUCGAACGGUAACGGGCCUUCGGGUGCCGACGAGUGGCGAACGGGUGAGUAAUGCAUCGGAACGUACCUUUCAGUGGAGGAUAACGUAGCGAAAGUUACGCUAAUACCGCAUAUUCUGUGAGCAGGAAAGCAGGGGAUCGCAAGACCUUGCGCUGAUUGAGCGGCCGAUGUCAGAUUAGCUAGUUGAUGGGGUAAAGGCUCACCAAGGCGACGAUCUGUAGCGGGUCUGAGAGGAUGAUCCGCCACCCUGGGACUGAGACACGGCCCAGACUCCGACGGGAGGCAGCAGUGGGGAAUUUUGGACAAUGGGGGCAACCCUGAUUCAGCCAUGCCGCGUGAGUGAAGAAGGCCUUCGGGUUGUAAAGCUCUUUCGGCCGGGAAGAAAUCGCAUCAGCUAAUACCUGGUGUGGAUGACGGUACCGGAAUAAGAAGCACCGGCUAACUACGUGCCAGCAGCCGCAGUAAUAC